rnacentral:tRNA from 1 species
GCUUCGUUAGCUCAGCUGGAAGAGCACCUGACUCUUAAUCAGGGCGUCCCGGGUUCGAGUCCCGGACGGAGUACCA